AAGCUGAGAAUGAGUCCCUGUAAUCUUGUGUAUUAGGUUUUGUUGCUCAUUCACUCCUUUAUUCAGGAAAUACAGAGCACAUUAAAUGCCAGUGUAGGCAACGGGGGCCCAAAGACAUACAAGAGGCAGAUGGUGCCCACUGUGGACCCACAGGUGGUAGAGAGAGCAUGUAAAGAAAUAGCCAUGACGUGCUACACCCCACUGAAGAGAUGUUUCCAAAAUGCUAUGGAUACAGCUUAUGCCACUGCAAGAAAUCAGGGAACAAAAGGAACAAAUAUGGAGAAUUGAAAAUAGUUCCAUUUUCCUUUUGCCGUGGUUAAUUAUCCCUAUAAUAAUGGCAGUUUGGUCUGGAUCCCUGGGCCUCCAUCAGGACAAAAUGUAUCAGAUAGACGGAGAUGCAAUUCGAGAAGCUGGUGCUCAUUUUCUACACCAGAACAGUAACUAUGAUGAUGUAAAUAUGUUCCACUGAAACCCAAAUAAUAUAUCCCAAAUUCAUCAAUUUAUCUUUUCCUUGGCCAGUUCCAAAGUAGGUGAUUACUUCCUCACCACGUAACAAAAGGCAGUGAGUGACAAAUAAGCAGUUGG
rnacentral:lncRNA from 1 species